rnacentral:rRNA from 1 species
GACGAACGCUGGCGGCGUGCUUUACACAUGCAAGUCGAACGGUGAAGGUGGAGCUUGCUCCGCCGGAUCAGUGGCGAACGGGUGAGUAACACGUGGGCAACCUGCCCCUAACUUUGGGAUAACUACUCGAAAGAGUAGCUAAUACCGGAUAUGAAGUCUGUAGGCAUCUAUGGAUUUGGAAAGUUUUUCGGUUAGGGAUGGGCCCGCGGCCUAUCAGCUUGUUGGUGAGGUAGUGGCUCACCAAGGCGACGACGGGUAGCCGGCCUGAGAGGGUGACCGGCCACACUGGGACUGAGAUACGGCCCAGACUCCUACGGGAGGCAGCAGUGGGGAAUAUUGCACAAUGGACGCAAGCCUGAUGCAGCGACGCCGCGUGAGGGAUGACGGCCUUCGGGUUGUAAACCUCUUUCAGUAGGGACGAAGCGCAAGUGACGGUACCUACAGAAGAAGGACCGGCCAACUACGUGCCAGCCGCCGCGGUAA